UUGACUGUACUUUAUGAAUAAGGUCCGGCUAACUACGUGCCAGCAGCCGCGGUAAUACGUAGGGACCGAGCGUUGUUCGGAAUUAUUGGGCGUACAGGGUAUGUAGGCGGUCUAUUAAGUUCGAUGUGAAAAAUCUGGGCUCAACCGAGAUCUUGCGUCUAAUACUGAUAGGCUAGAGUCUCUGAGAGGAAGGCGGAAUUCCUGGUGUAGGGGUGAAAUCUAUAGAUAUCAGGAAGAACACCGGUUGCGAAGGCGGCCUUCUGGCAGAGGACUGACGCUGAGGUACGAAAGUUAGGGUAGCAAACAGGAUUAGAGACCCUGGUAGUCCUAACCGUAAACGUUGUAUACUAGGUGGUUGAAGUAUUGAUCCUUUGACUGCCGCAGCAAACGCAUUUAAGUAUACCGCCUGGGGAGUAUGCCGGCAACGGUGAAACUCAAAGGAAUUGACGGGGCCCCGCACAAGCAGUGGAGCAUGUUGCUUAAUUCGAUGAUACGCGAGUAACCUUACCAGGUCUUGACAUAUACCUGUCUGGUGUAGAAAUACAUCAUUGCUUCGGCACGGGUAUACAGGUGCUGCAUGGUUGUCGUCAGCUCGUGCCGUGAGGUGUUGGGUUAAGUCCCGCAACGAGCGCAACCCUUAUUCUUUGUUGCUAACAGGUUAAGCUGAGCACUCUAAGGAGACUGCCGGUGACAAACCGGAGGAAGGUGGGGACGACGUCAAAUCAUCACGGCCCUUAUGACCUGGCUGCAAACGUGCUACAAUGGGUGGUACAAAGAGUUGCGAGACCGCGAGGUGGAGCUAAUCUCAAAAAACUAUCCUCAGUUCGGAUUGGAGUCUGAAACCCGACUCUAUGAAGUUGGAAUUGCUAGUAAUCGCACAUCAUCAUGGUGCGGUGAAUACGUUCCCGGGGCUUGUACACACCGCCCGUCACAUCACCCGAGUUGAUAUACCCGAAGUACCUGAGC
rnacentral:rRNA from 1 species